AGAGUUUGAUUCUGGCUCAGAACGAACGCUGGCAGCGUGGAUUAGGCAUGCAAGUCGAACGGGAAGCCAUAAUUUCAAGUUUUCGGACGAGAAAAUAUGGUGGAGAGUGGCGAAAGGGUGAGUAACGCGUGGGUAACCUACCUCAAAGUUCGGGACAACCAGCCGAAAGGCUGGCUAAUACCGGAUGUGGUCUUCUGGCGCAUGUCAGAAUGAUUAAAGGCGGGGAUUCUUCGGAACCUGCCUCUUGGAGAGGGGCCCGCGUACCAUCAGCUUGUUGGUGAGGUAAUGGCUCACCAAGGCUUACGGUUAGCCGGCCUGAGAGGGUGAUCGGCCACACUGGGACUGAGACACUGCCCAGACUCCUACGGGAGGCUGCAGUCGAGGAUCAUUGACAAUGCGCGAAAGCGUGAUCAUGCGACGCUGCGUGGAGGAUGACGGCCUUCGGGUUGUAAACUCCUGUCAUUCGGGAAAAAUAACGCGAGGAUUAAUACUCCUUGUGAUUGAUGUUACCGAAAGAGGAAGCCACGGCUAACUCUGUGCCAGCAGCCGCGGUAAUACAGAGGUGGCGAGCGUUGUUCGGAUUUACUGGGCGUAAAGCGUGCGUAGGUGGCUUCGUAUGUCGGAUGUGAAAGCCCACGGCUCAACCGUGGAAUUGCAUCCGAAACUGCGGAGCUAGAGUACAGGAGGGGAGAGCGGAAUUCUUGGUGCAGUGGUGAAAUGCGUUGAUAUCAAGAAGAACACCGGUGGCGAAGGCGGCUCUCUGGAAUGUUACUGACACUGAGGCACGAAAGUUGGGGUAGCAAACAGGAUUAGAUACCCUGGUAGUCCCAACCGUAAACGGUGUGCACUUGGUGUGGGGGAAUUAACCCCCUCCGUGCCGGAGCUAACGCGUUAAGUGCACCGCCUGGGGAGUACGGCCGCAAGGCUAAAACUCAAAGAAAUUGACGGGGGCCCGCACAAGCGGAGGAGCAUGUGGCUUAAUUCGAUGCAACGCGAAGAACCAUACCAGGGCUUGACAUGUAGCUGCACGCCCGGCGAAAGUCGGGAAGCCUUCGAGGGUGCUACACAGGUGCUGCAUGGCUGUCGUCAGUUCGUGCCGUGAGGUGUUGGGUUAAGUCCCGCAACGAACGCAACCCCUAUGUUUAGUUGCCACCCUAGAUUUAUCUUGGAGCACUCUAGACAGACUGCCCGUACAAGCGGGAGGAAGGUGGGGACGACGUCAAGUCAGUAUGGCCCUUACGCCCUGGGCUGCACACGUGCUACAAUGGUCGGUACAAAGGGAUGCAAUAUCGCGAGGUGGAGCAAAUCCCCAAAACCGGCCCCAGUUCGGAUUGGAGUCUGCAACUCGACUCCAUGAAGUCGGAUUCGCUAGUAACGGCGCAUCAGCUACGGCGCCGUGAAUACGUUCCCGGGCCUUGUACACACCGCCCGUCACAUCAUGAAAGCCGUCUGCACCCGAAGUCGCUGAGCCAACCCGCAAGGGAGGCAGGUGCCCAAGGUGUGGGUGGUGAUUGGGAUGAAGUCGUAACAAGGUA
rnacentral:rRNA from 1 species